GAUGAACGCUGGCGGCGUGCCUAGUACAUGCAAGUCGAGCGAACGGACUAGUAUCUUGCUUCUCUGAUGUUUGCGGCGGACGUGUGAGUAACACGUGUAUAACCUACCUAUAAUACUGGUAUAACUUCGGGAAACCGGAUCUAAUACCGUAUAAUAUUUUUAACCGCAUGGUUCAAAAGUGAAAUACGGUCUUGCUUUCACUUAUAGAUUGUUCCGCGCUGCAUUAGCUAGUUGGUAAGGUAACGGCUUACCAAGGCAACGAUGCAUAGCCGACCUGAGAGGGUGAUAGGCGAAACUGGAAGGGAGACAGGGAAAAGAGGAGUAAGGGAGGGAGCAGAAGGGAAUGUUAGGCAAUGGGCGAAAGCAUGACGGAGAAAGGGCGAGUGAGAGAAGAAGGUGUUCGGAGGGUAAAAAACUGUUAUUAGGGAAGAACAUAUGUGGAAGUAAAUGUGGAGAGAUUGACGGUACCUAAUGAGAAAGCAACGGCUAACUACGUG
rnacentral:rRNA from 1 species